UCAAAGAAACGGAAGCCAGGAGGAUGAACACAACAGACUUGGAUCUUAUACACCGGAACCAUAUAGUAAGUGGCUACUACUACAUCUCUACUGGUGGUGGCCAAGAGAGGAGGCCAGAGCUGGAAGCAGAUCUGCGGCUGCUAAUCACUACUCCCCCUCAGCGCUGCUGUGGAGAUCGGACAGCGAGAAGGACCUCGGGGAUCUGAAGCUCCCGAGGCCGCCAUUCGGCCCGUUCCUCCGC
rnacentral:lncRNA from 1 species